GAAGCCAGAGUUACAUAAAAAGAAAAUUUUAGUCAUUCAAGUGGGGCAAAGGAAAUAUCCUUUUAAAACUCAGGCAGACUGAGUGUUUGUCCUAUAACCUGUCAGAGGAAACAAAU
rnacentral:snoRNA from 1 species